rnacentral:rRNA from 1 species
CGUAGGGUGCGAGCGUUAAUCGGAAUUACUGGGCGUAAAGCGUGCGCAGGCGGUUUUGUAAGACAGAUGUGAAAUCCCCGGGCUCAACCUGGGACCUGCAUUUGUGACUGCAAGGCUAGAGUACGGUAGGGGGGAUGGAAUUCCGCGUGUAGCAGUGAAAUGCGUAGAUAUGCGGAGGAACACCGAUGGCGAAGGCAAUCCCCUGGACCUGUACUGACGCUCAUGCACGAAAGCGUGGGGAGCAAACAGGAUUAGAUACCCUGGUAGUCCACGCCCUAAACGAUGUCAACUGGUUGUUGGGUCUUUACUGACUCAGUAACGAAGCUAACGCGUGAAGUUGACCGCCUGGGGAGUACGGCCGCAAGGUUG